rnacentral:rRNA from 1 species
AUUGAACGCUGGCGGCAGGCCUAACACAUGCAAGUCGAGCGAGCGGAGGACGGGUGAGUAAUGUAUGGGGACUGCCCGAUAGAGGGGGAUAACUACUGGAAACGGUGGCUAAUACCGCAUACUAUCGGAUAACCCAUAUGGGAUUAGCUAGUAGGUGGGGGAAAGGCUCACCAAGCCGACGAUCCCUAGCUGGUCUGAGAGGAUGAUCAGCCACACUGCGACUGAUACACGGCCCAUACUCCUACGGAGGCAGCAGUGGGGAAUAUUGCACAAUGGGCGCAAGCCUGAUGCAGCCAUGCCGCGUGUAUGAAGAAGUCCUUCGGGUUGUAAAGUACUUUCAGUCGGGAGGCGUUACCGACAGAAGAAGCACCGGCUAACUCCGUGCCAGCAGCCGCGGUAAUAC